rnacentral:rRNA from 1 species
GAUGAACGCUGGCGGCGUGCUUAACACAUGCAAGUCGAACGGAAAGGCCCAAGCUUGCUUGGGUCCUCGAGUGGCGAACGGGUGAGUAACACGUGGGUGAUCUGCCCUGCACUUCGGGAUAAGCCUGGGAAACUGGGUCUAAUACCGGAUAGGACCACAUUUUGGAUGGUGUGGUGGAAAGUUUUUCGGUGUGGGAUGAGCUCGCGGCCUAUCAGCUUGUUGGUGGGGUAAUGGCCUACCAAGGCGUCGACGGGUAGCCGGCCUGAGAGGGUGUACGGCCACAUUGGGACUGAGAUACGGCCCAGACUCCCACGGGAGGCAGCAGGGGGGAAUAUUGCACAAUGGGCGCAAGCCUGAGGCAGCGACGCCGCGUGGGGGAUGACGGCCUUCGGGUUGUAAACUCCUUUCGCUAGGGACGAAGCGUUUUUGUGACGGUACCUGGAGAAGAAGCACCGGCUAACUACGUG